rnacentral:lncRNA from 1 species
ACUGUUACGCAACGGAGGACUGUGAAUUGGGAGUUUAUUUUGUUUUUCAGUCUGUACUGGCAGCGAAUCAUACAUAGCUUAGUUUAUCAGACAAGCUGCUUUUCUUGAGCAAAGAAAGAACUAGGAGAGAAACGGGGCUUUGGAACCCUGAUGCGGCAAUGCUGAAAGAGGAGAAAUAUCCCAAGGAAGGGAAAGGUGUGUUGCAGAACGAUGAAAAAUAGGCGGCUUCUCACAGCUGUUCUCAGGGGACGAGACGGGGUGGGAUGCAGCUCCGCCGGUGCCUAACACUAAGGGCCCUCAUCCUGCCGAUUCAGUUGUGUCGGGACCGCCAGUGCUGUCUCCUCGUCAGAUGCUGCUUCUGGUCUCCCCGCAGAAGAUGCCACUGGAGUUGCCUUUUCAAGGAUGGGGACAUUUGAAGGCCCUGGACGCUCAGCUCUGAGGCUGGCUGGGAUCUCACUAGCACCCCCUGGUGGAGGCCGGAGCCAGGCUGACGCGGGAAAGUGGGGCACGGAAGCGCUGCGGAUUGGACCGGCGGCAGCUAGGCCGAAACGCCUGUAUUUAAAGGGAUAGUAACUCGGACUCGUUCUGCAAUAUCCCCACAAGGGCCUGACUGAGCGAGCGAGCAUGGACGGCCGCGGGGCUUUCUGGACAGUGGCCAUUCCCAGAGCCAGGCAGGAAGGCCUCGGGAGGCUGGGGCUCCCGUUCCCGGUGAAGCGGACGCCGCCAGCGCCCCAGAACCCAGGAGGAAGCACACAGGCCCCACAGAGAGUGGUUGGCAAGAGUCACUCGGGGAUUAGGAUGCCGGCCAAAUCGCGGAAUUUGAGGCUGGAAUCCAAGCUCAACAGGAAAGUAGUGAAAUACAAAUGGGGAAAACAGGGCUCUGGAGCGGGGAGGGAGCUGGUGCCGGCAUUUCCCACCAACGCCGGUUUAGGAAGACGGGACCGAUGCCGGCCGCCCCCUGCUGGAGGGGAUGUGGCAUCUCACGGGCUGCCAGGGAGCGGGGUUGGCUACUCCUGCAACCAGCGUGAAGAGGGUCUCAGGGGAGGCUGUGGUGGGAUCCCCCACGUGCCCUUGUUCCUCUCACCGUUACCUCUGGAUGCCUCGGGGCAAAGGCCUUCUUCCACCUAUAGACAGAGUCUACGCAGGGGUCUUGGAACCCGGGCACACCAGUCCCCAGCUAACGAAAUCCCCGAGUUGGGGGAUUUGAGAGGGUCACGUUUGGCCCAAGAACCCGCAGUCCUCUUUGGUCUUCGGCCCUCUAUUUCUAAGCGUGGGCUUCUGGCACGGCGGCUCUGGGCACAGCCCAUGCUGCUUUCGGGCUGGGUGGUUUCAACGACGACAACAAUUAUCACAGUGACGGUGACCUUCACCCCAACAGGACUGCUGUGUGUGAAGCACUCAAGAGGGCCCCUACAACCAACCUGCCAGGAGUCGGCUCCUGAAAACAGGGUCGGAAAAGGUCAGUGCCCAUCAGAAUCGAGCUGUCGGCAAAAAGCUGGAGAGGUUAGGAGCUUUGUCUAUCUCAAGGGUAACAAACUGCUUUGACCCUGAGGGCUCUGAAGACGACUUUCCCUCACCGCAGCUCUCAAGACAACAGGGAUCAGACUCAGAAAGACACUGCCUGUAUAAGGCUCUUGUUUGUCUUGUUUUUAAUUCCUGCCCUCUGCCUCCAGAUCUCAGUCCUCUAUCUGUGAAACGGAAUUCGGCCUUGCCUGUCCACGAAAUGAAGACAAGGCAUCUCGUGUGUGUUAAGAUGAAACAAGAUCUUAGCAAGAGAGUAAUGAUUUCUUUUUUAAAACAUUUUUUACUGUAGUAAAAUGUACUAUAACGUAAAAUUACCAUUUCAAUCAUUUGUAAGUUCAGUGGCAUUAAGUACAUUCACAUUGUCGGGCAGCUGUCAGAGGUGUUCGAACCAGAGCGACUCCAUCUUGAACAGGUGCUGCGCAAAAUGAGGCUGAGACCUGCUGGGCUGCAUUCCCAGGAGGUUAGGCAUUCUUCGUCACAGGAUGAGUCAGUGGCUGCCAGGGAGGCAGGUUGGUUACCCCAGGAACCAAUGAAUUGCAUCUCAGGGGAGGUUUUGCCAGAUACAGGUCACAAAGACCCUGCUGAUAAAACAAGAUGCGGUAAAGAAGCUGGCCAAAACCUACCAAAACCAGAUGGUGACAAAAGCAACCUCUGCUCGUCCUCACUGCUCAUUAUACACUAAUUAUAAUGUAUUAGCAUGGCAAAAGACACUCCCGCUAGUGCCAUGGCAGCUUACAAAUGCCAUGACAACAUCUACUUAGUUAAAUUUGCAUACUAUGAAUAUGAGUAUGCAAAUACCUGUUGGAGUCCCCGCUUUCAAAGCUUUGGGGUACACAUCCAGAAACGGAAUUGCUGGAUCAUAGGGUAAAUCUAUUUUGGAGGAAUAGUCGUACUGUUUUCCACAGUGACUGUACCAUUUUACAUUCCCACAAAAUUAUUUCUUUCUAUCUGCCUUCCCCCACUAGAUAGAACACAGGGAAGUUACUUUUUCGUUUCUAAAUCCCCAGCACCAGGAACAGUGUCUAGUUCAUAACAGAGCUCUAUAGAGAACUGUGGGGAAAGAAGUGCAAUUUAUAUGCUGCUGCCUCUUCAUUUGGCAUCUCAGUACGUGGCACACAGAAAGUAGGCACUGAAGAAGGGUUGAAGGACCUAAUGAGUACAUAAAUGAAUGCAGUUACCAUUGCUUUUUCCUUGGUCUAGACUGAGGACAGACAUUUUUGUAAAUUAAGCUACUUAGUUAAAUGUAGACCUCUGGCCAGUUUUGCUCAUCCAGAAGUUUCACUUUAAUGCCACUUCAAAGAUACUGUUUUCUGUAAAUCAGAUCAUAAUUGUGAUGAGAAUGAUGUGGGGAUGUGUCCUGGACUCUCCCCAUCCCCCACCUCACAGCCUAAUGUAUAACGCACAUUUUAUUCAGGACCAUUUUGGAUGUGUAGGAUCUGCUCCAGAACACAGGAUAAUGGGCCUCUUUUCUGGGGAUGGUGUGGUUCCAUCAUUAGAUAGCAGGUGUGUCAUCUGCAGGUACUGGUCUCACUAUUCAACCACUGGUUGAAAGAUUGGUUCAAGAUCAACUCUUUGAAAAAUCAAAGUAUUACUUUUACAAAUGCUUUUUUGAUAUUUCUCAACCAAUUAACCUUGAAAAGUUCACCAUGAAGUUGAAUUGCCUAAACUUAUACAUUGUAUGGGCACUGAGAUGCAAUUUUUAGGGCUGUGUGGGCAUCAGCGAUGCCUGUUUUCAAUACAUUGUAGCUAUGCUCAGUGUCAUGGGCCUUGUAGGGCUGACCUCUUUUUGUCCAAGCAUUGAAGCCAAUCUAAAACUCUUUUCCAAAAAGAAAAUGUUUUCUUUGCUAAUAAGUCACCAUCAACUGCAGCAGAGGCAGCUGUUUGGGCUUCACAAUUUGCGGAAGCACAUGCCAGCCUGGCUCUGUUUUGUGCUUGUUCACAGUAUAUGGCUUUGGCCUUGUUCAGCAUCAGGGAGUAGCUGUUCCUUGGGUCAUGCAUGGAGUUGGAUUUAACCCUGGCUUUCAGCUGGCCAGUCCUCAUCAGGAGCUUGGGCAGGAGAAAUAGUACUCUGGUGAAUGGUCUGAAGACAUUAGAUCAUAGAUGACCUUGGCUGCAAGCAACUAAAUCCAGACCACAACAGUUUAUCCAAAUAGGGUUAACCAAACAAGUACAAUGUGUACCCAAAUGAUAUCAGUGUCCCAUGAUCCUUCCAUCAUCCACUGGAUGAUUUCUUAAUUCAAAGUCAAACAAAAACAAAAGCAGAUUUGAAACAUUCUCAUCCAUCCUUGAAACUGGAUCACAUGCCAUGGUCUCGCUCUUUGAAGUGGUCAACUGAACAGCUGGAUACAUGGUCUGGAGCUGGGAGGAGGAGUGCCUUAGUCCAUUCCUGCUGCUAUGACAAAAUAGCUUAGACUUGGUAAUUUAUAAAUAAUAGACAUUUAUUUCUCAUUGUUCUGGUGGCUGGGAAGUCCAAGGUCAAGGUGCCGGCAGAUUCAGUGUCUGGUAAGCUCUCUGUGUCCAGGAUGACACCUUGUUGCUGCAUCUUCUGAAGAGGACAAAUGCUGUGUCCUCAUAUGGCAGAAGAGAUGCAGGGCAAAAGGGCCAAGAAGCCCUCUUGAGCCUCUUUAAUGAGGGCAUUAAUUCCAUUCAUGAGGGCAGAGCCCUCAUGACUUUGGGCCUUAACCCAAAAGGCUCCACCUCUUAAUACCAGCACAAUGAGGUAAGUUUCACCAUGAAUUUUGGAGGGACAUAAACAUUCAAACCGCGGCAAAGAGUCUGGACCAGGGGAUGACUCUGUGAAGUGCGUGCUUGUCCACUGCCAAAAGAAAGGGAUAAGAUGAGGAAUGCGAAGCUGAGAAGGGGAGGGUUCGAGAUCAGCACUGCAUUGAGAGAAAGGGGAGUUGGGCAGAGGAGUGUAGUAGCAAUGGUGGGCAUGGCGAUGGCUCAAAUGAAGAAGGUGAUUGCAGAUUUCCCUGUUGCAUGCUUGGCUCCAGUGGUGUUCAGAGCUCAACCACAUGCUCAGUGAGAGUAGAGAGUUGAGUUUACCCAGGCCUGUAGUUCUGCAUGACAACUGCAGUGAAAAGGGAUAGGGGAGGGUGCUGAGCAUAUUGGCAAGAGUGUUUUCAGAGUCAUGGGGCCUGGAAUGCAAGCUGGAUAUGGAGGCAAGUGAAGAGAGGCUGGUGGGUUGGGAGAUGCAGACUGAGAGACCUUCUGAGGUAGGAGCAUUUGGACGAGCAUGCUGGGAGGACAAGAAGCUGUGGUCAGAGGUGGAUGUUCAAGUUUUGGAAGGUGGAACAGCUAGGGGUGAUGACAAGGUGUAGGGUGUGAAUUUGAGAGUGGACAGUUGGGGCAGCAUAGCACAGAAGGUCACUGAAGGAGGAAAUUGAGGAGCCCAGAGCCCAGGGUGGGGGAUGGGAGUUGUCUAUAUGUGUGUCUGUUAGGGGUCGAGUUUGGCUGCAUAUAACAGACAACCCAAAUAGCAACAGCUUAAAAGAGACAAGAGUAUAUUUUUUUUCUGAUAUAGCAAAAAGUGCAGAAGUAGACAGCUCAGGUCUGGCAUGGUGACUCCAAGAUGUCAUCAGCAACCCAGAGUUCAUUGAUCUUUUUGCUUCCCAGGGGUCUGGCACUCUUCCUCAUGCUUACGAGAUGGCUGCUGGAAUUCCAGGAAUCACAUGCAAAUUCUAGUCAGGAGCAAAGAGGAAGAGACACAGUGAAAAGGGGUAUACAGCGGCAGAAGGAAGCUCCUCAAAUGAACUCUGCUAGAACUCUAGCCAGUAGCUUCUCCUUCUAUCACAGUGGCCAGAACUGUGACAAGUGACCAUCCUUAGGGGAAAAAAGAUGCUGAGAAAUGUGAAUUUUGUUGCCACCUUACAUUUUCAAAGGAGUUCCAUUCGUAAGUACAGAACGCUCAGAGAAGAGGCAGCAGAUCUAGGAUAUGGAGCAGCAGCUCUUAAGGGCACAGUGGGAAGGUUUCAAGACUGAGGAGGAUCUUGGAUUUGGGUAGGGGAAGGCAGUUCACAGUAUUGUGGAGGAAAUGCUGUGAAAGAGAAAGUGGAAGGCAUGGAAGCUUAAACUUUUAAUAUGACUGGUGAAUACAAGGAUGAAGGGCAAAGGGAAUUCAGACUCAUGGUGGUCAGAUUAAGACCUUCAGCGGCUCUGUCUCCCAGCCCCACAUACCCACUUCCAUGUUCUGCUCUUUACUGAAGCUGAAAGUCUGCAACCUUCAUUCUCUGACUCCCUUACAUUUUCUUAGGCUUCUUGCUAGCUUCUGCCAAAAAGAGGCCCUGGCAGGAGAUUAGAUGGCAGGAGGCAGAGGUAAGGAUUCCAUGUUAACAGGUGCUGGAAGUUGCUGGUGUGGCAAUGAGAACUGGGCCCCGGUCAAGGCAGCACUACUUUGGUAGAUCCAGAAUCAACCAUGAUAACCGUGACAGUGUCUUCAACAGUGCAGCAGUAGACACAGGCCCCUGGUGCUGGAAUCCAAUACAGGGACAGGAGCAGCACGGAGUCACGGAACACCGUCUUGCCUUCAUGUCACUUUACCAUUUCUUCUUUCUCCCUCUUACUCUACCAGCUACCUGUGGAGAUGUUGAACCUUUUAUCUGUCGCUGUCUGCUUAGGAACAGAAGAAAAGGCAGCUGAUUGCUUGACUCAGCUUUCAGCUUGAUUUUUUUCCUUUGGCAGAGUGAAUUGGGGUCCCAGGUGUUCAUUUUCCUUUUGUAGUACCUUUCCUCAGCAUGCAAUUAAUACAAAAAGAACAAUAAACCUUAACAAAGUUUGGCUUGUAUUAUUCCAGACUUUCCUCUUGGAUUUUAUGUACACUUAUCUGAAUCCAUGCAGAUCAUGUCAUGUGUGUCUGUGUGUUUAUACACAUUUUUUUUUCGGUGUGCCUCAUUCUGCAACUUGAUUUUUUAAAAAAUUCGAUAACUGAUCUUGGAGAUCUGUCCAUGUUGUUACAUAUAUGAGAUUUUUGUAUUUCCUUUAAUUAAUGGUGUUCAAGUAGCCGUUUAUGUAACGAUGAACAUUCAGGU